rnacentral:rRNA from 1 species
CACGUAGGGUGCGAGCGUUGUCCGGAAUUAUUGGGCGUAAAGAGCUCGUAGGCGGUGUGUCGCGUCGGCCGUGAAAACCUGCAGCUUAACUGUGGGCUUGCGGUCGAUACGGGCAUCACUGGAGUUCGGGCAGGGGAGACUGGAAUUCCUGGUGUAGCGGUGAAAUGCGCAGAUAUCAGGAGGAACACCAAUGGGCGAAGGCAGCUCGCUGGGACGGUACUGACG